rnacentral:rRNA from 1 species
ACGGGGUGCAGCAGGCGCGAAAACUUUCACACUGGGGGGAACCCCGAUGAGGGAAAUUCCUAGUGCUAGGACAUUUGUUCUAGCUUUUCUCAAGCGUAGAUAACUUGAGGAAUAAGGGCUGGGUAAGAACGGGUGCCAGCCGCCGCGGUAAUACCUGCAGCCCAAGUGGUGGUCGAUUUUAUUGAGUCUAAAACGUUCGUAGCCGGUUUGGUAAAUCUUUGGGUAAAUCGGGAGGCUCAACUUUCCGACUUCCGAAGAGACUGCCAAACUUGGGACCGGGAGAGGCUAGAGGUACUUCUGGGGUAGGGGUAAAAUCCUGUAAUCUUAGAAGGACCACCGGUGGCGAAGGCGUCUAGCUAGAACGGAUCCGACGGUGAGGGACGAAGCCCUGGGUCGCAAACGGGAUUAGAUACCCCGGUAGUCCAGGGUGUAAACGCUGCCGACUUGGUGUUGGAGGCCCUUCGGGGGCAUUCAGCGCCGGAGAGAAGUUGUUAAGUCGGCUACUUGGGGAGUACGUCCGCAAGGAUGAAACUUAAAGGAAUUGGCGGGGGAGCAC